AGGCUUCAUCUGCUGAAUAAUCUCUGUGAGUUAUGCAUCGAUCUGCAUUCUCUCCUUACUGUCAGAUGGAAAAUAGCUAAAUUCUUACAAACGGGGUUUCUUGCAACUCCCUGAAGGCAAUGGGACUCCCAAUCAACAAGCUACAAAUUCUCUUGAGAAUGAAGCCUGAGGGAGAGAGAAGAGAAACAUCCAUCAUUUGUCUGACUGGUAUCUUCUAACACCUGUGAUUAUGUGUGCCCCCACUGGUUCCUGGGGCCACCACCAUGUCACUUGGCAUUUCACCACAACUCCAAUGAGACGUUCAAGCUUGGGUAAUUAUAUGGCCACAGAGUAAAUCACGAGAGAGGUCCCAUUCCAGCAGCCCCUGAUACUCUGCCUGCCUGCCUGCCUAUUAUUCCACGUUUGGACUUGAAAUAUCUCUAGACCCAACUCCAAAGUCAGGAGGACUUGGGAAUGGAAGCUUUUGUUGAGUUUCUUCCCCUCCUAGAGGAAUUUCUAUCCAUUCAUCCAGAUCCAGCCUUACUCUCAGGUGAUACCUUGGGUAGGUUUGGUCCCUUUCCUGAUAUCCUCAAAUCAGGCACAGCAAGUGGGAAAAGGAAGAGAGUUGAGCUAUGAGACAAAAAAAAUCAGCGGUGGGAAAGGGGAGCGCAAGGGUUAUUGGAAUUUAGAAUCCUAGGGCCUAAGUUUGAAACCUUUCUCAGCUACCCAUUCUCUGGGUAAACUUGGAUAAGAUACAAUCUCUCCCAGGUCUCAGUGACCUCAUUUAUAAAAAUGAGUUGGUUAGGUUAGAUGUCCUGAGAUGUCAUUUUUAGCUCUAAACUUCUGAUCCUGUGAAUCCUUAUGAUUCUCUGCUAGAUGAAGAGGGGAAAGAGACUCUGGGGUCACUGGGGAAAUGAGAGAGGAAAGAGUCAAGAACCAUGAGCUGGUUUUUAAGCCAUUGUCUUUUAAAAACUAAGUUGAGAGUGUGCUACAUUGGCACAAGAACCAAGGACACUCAUUGUCAUCAAGUGUCUCUGAGCAGCAGCAGCAGCCCUAGGCUGAGGUGCCAGGCCAAGAUACGAGGAUGCUUUUCAAUGGCACCUCUGGGUAUUUAUGUCUCAUCUAGGAUGCAGUGUUAUGUGCAAGAGAAGAAUAAUGAAUUUCCUGCUGCUUACUGAAUAGGUAAACAGGCAAGCUUCUAGGAGCAUUUAGGUAGGGUCCCAUUUGGUGGUAGGAGGAGAGACUAAAUCAUACCUAUAAACACUCUAAUUUCUAUAGCAUUUUAUGGGUUACACAUGAGAUUCCAUUACAACCAUCCUGCAAGGGAGGGGUACAAGUAUACUCUUCCCAACCCUGUCUCCAAUUUCUAGAUGAGGAAUCUGAAAGUCAGAGAGGUGAGAUGAUAUACACAAGCUAGUUGGUAUUAGGGGUGGGGUGCUAAUCCCACUUUCUUUAUCUCAAGUGCCACGUUCUUUCCAUUAUAUCAAGGACUCUAUGGAUUUUAGUCCAUAUAACCUUUUUUGUUUCCUGCUCUUUGGCAUUCUCAGAAUAAUGCUUUUUAGGUGAAUAAAACAGAAUAAAACUGGGAUUAAAAGUAAACCAAUUACACUGCAAUACACGUAUCAAAGUGUUUUUUUAAUGGACUUCAGAUUAAGAACUCCUGAUUUAGUUCCUCCUUUCUCUGAUGUGCUGAGAUGUUUUAAAAAUAUAAUUAAACUUCAUAAUCUGCGGUACAAUAAGUUAUGAGCUCUCCCAAGGACCUGGACUUAAAAUUUUUAUGUGGAGACUGACUUUCAUGGACAAGGAAUAUAGUGACUGAGUAACACUAUAGAGUUUUAGAUUUAAAAUAUUUUUAUGGUGACUGAAUCCAAAUUCUUCAUUUUAUAGAGGACAAAACUGAAUCAC